GAUGAACGCUGGCGGCGUGCCUAAUACAUGCAAGUCGAGCGAACAGAUGAGGAGCUUGCUCCUCUGACGUUAGCGGCGGACGGGUGAGUAACACGUGGAUAACCUACCUAUAAGACUGGGAUAACUUCGGGAAACCGGAGCUAAUUCCGGAUAAUAUAUUGAACCGCAUGGUUCAAUAGUGAAAGACGGUUUUGCUGUCACUUAUAGAUGGAUCCGCGCCGCAUUAGCCAGUUGGUAAGGUAACGGCUUACCAAGGCAACGAUGCGUAGCCGACCUGAGAGGGUGAUCGGCCACACUGGAACUGAGACACGGUCCAGACUCCUACGGGAGGCAGCAGUAGGGAAUCUUCCGCAAUGGGCGAAAGCCUGACGGAGCAACGCCGCGUGAGUGAUGAAGGUCUUCGGAUCGUAAAACUCUGUUAUUAGGGAAGAACAAAUGUGUAAGUAACUAUGCACGUCUUGACGGUACCUAAUCAGAAAGCCACGGCUAACUACGUG
rnacentral:rRNA from 1 species